rnacentral:rRNA from 1 species
CCUACGGGAGGCAGCAGUGGGGAAUCUUGGGCAAUGGGCGCAAGCCUGACCCAGCGACGCCGCGUGGGUGAUGAAGGCCUUCGGGUCGUAAAGCCUUGUCAGGAGGAACGAAGAGCGCGGGGGCGAAGAGCCCCGGCGUGUGACGGUACCUCUGAAGGAAGCACCGGCCAACUCCGUGCCAGCAGCCGCGGUAAGACGGAGGGUGCAAGCGUUGCUCGGACUCAUUGGGCGUAAAGGGUGCGUAGGCGGCCUGGUCAGUCUGCUGUGAAAGCCCCGGGCUCAGCCCGGGAAGGGCGGCGGAUACUGCCAGGCUAGAGUGCCGAAGGGGAGAGUGGAAUUCCUGGUGUAGCGGUGAAAUGCGUAGAGAUCAGGAGGAAUACCGGUGGCGAAAGCGACUCUCUGGACGGCAACUGACGCUGAGGCACGAAAGCGUGGGGAGCAAACAGGAUUAGAUACCCUAGUAGU